rnacentral:rRNA from 1 species
AUGAAGACCUUAUUCAUCCUAACAAUCCUUGCGAUGGCAACAACUAUCGCCACCGCGAAUAUGCAGGUCGACCCCAGCGGCCAAGUACAAUGGCCACAACAACAACCAUUCCGCCAGCCCCAACAACCAUUCUACCAGCAACCACAACACACAUUUCCCCAACCCCAACAAACAUUCCCCCAUCAACCACAACAACAAUUUCCCCAGCCCCAGCAACCACAACAACAAUUUCCGCAGCCCCAGCAACCACAACAACCAUUUCCCCAGCCCCAACAAGCCCAACUACCAUUUCCCCAACAACCACAACAACCAUUCCCCCAGCCUCAACAACCCCAACAACCAUUUCCCCAGUCACAGCAACCACAACAACCUUUUCCCCAGCCCCAACAACCGCAACAAUCAUUCCCCCAGCAACAACAACCGUUGAUUCAGCCAUAUCUACAACAACAGAUGAACCCUUGCAAGAAUUACCUCUUACAACAAUGCAACCCUGUGUCAUUGGUGUCAUCCCUCGUGUCAAUGAUAUUGCCACGAAGUGAUUGCCAGGUGAUGCAGCAACAAUGUUGCCAACAACUAGCACAGAUUCCUCGCCAGCUCCAGUGUGCAGCCAUCCAUAGCGUCGUGCAUUCCAUCGUCAUGCAGCAAGAACAACAACAAGGCAUACAGAUCCUCCGGCCACUGUUUCAGCUCGUCCAAGGUCAGGGCAUCAUCCAACCUCAACAACCAGCUCAAUAUGAGGUGAUCAGGUCAUUGGUAUUGAGAACCCUUCCAAACAUGUGCAACGUGUAUGUCCGACCUGACUGCUCCACCAUCAACGCACCAUUUGCCAGCAUAGUCGCCGGCAUCAGUGGACAAUGA